rnacentral:rRNA from 1 species
GUGCCAGCAGCCGCGGUAACACGUAGGGCGCGAGCGUUGUCCGGAAUUAUUGGGCGUAAAGGGCUCGUAGGCGGUUUGUUGCGUCGAAAGUGAAAAUCCGGGGCUUAACUCCGGACUUGCUUUCGAUACGGGCAGACUAGAGGUAGGCAGGGGAGAGUGGAAUUCCUGGUGUAGCGGUGGAAUGCGCAGAUAUCAGGAGGAACACCGGUGGCGAAGGCGGCUCUCUGGGCCUUACCUGACGCUGAGGAGCGAAAGCGUGGGGAGCGAACAGGAUUAGAUACCCUGGUAGUCC